rnacentral:lncRNA from 1 species
GCGGGGCUUAUUUCAAUACACGGUUAGUUGUGGCUAUACGACUUGGGCACUGUUUGAUUAUUUAAAACUAUUAAAGUUCUGUUUAAUAUUGUUGAUAUCAAGGUUGUUGAUAAUAAAUAUUUAUCAUUUACAUUAGUUGUUUAGUGCAGACCAAUUGAAAAAAGUUCUUAAAAUUGAACACUUGAACACUUUAAUACAGAAAUAAGAAGAUGUGUUAUGAUAGCAAAUAAGACAACUUUAGUCUAAAUUCAACAAAUAAAGAUAGUCGGUAAGAUGAAUUCAUUACAUAGUGUGCUAGUGACCUAAUAUGAUAUAUACAGGGUAAGUAAAUUUCAUAU